AGAGACAGAUAGAUAGAUAGGUAGACAGAUAUAUAGAAAGAAAGAUAGAUAGAUAAAUAGGUAGGUAGAUAGAUUGAUUAGUAGAGACAGAGAGGAAAUAAUUCUAAAAAAAAUAAUGAGGAGGUAAAUCUGCUUGUAAAAAAGGAAUGAGAGAGAGAGAGAGAGAGAGAGAGAGAGAGAGAGAGAGAGAGAGAGAGAGAGAGAGAGAGAGAGAGAGAGAGAGAGAGAGAGAGAGAGAGAGAGAGAGAGAGAGAGAGAGAGAGAGAGGAAAUGUGUUUGCUCUCAGAGUCUUUCUUCUUGAUAUUCUUUUCUUUUUUUUAGCCAUAUCCGGUGUAGGGGGGGUCUGGUUUCCUGUGCUGUUGUUGUUGUUCUUGUUAAUUUGCAUCACAUUCCUCAGUUUUUUUCACUAACUAAUAUUUUUUAAUGUAUUUUUCCUUCCUCCUUUUUUUUUCCUCCAUCCAUCCAUUCAUUCAUUCAUUCAUUCAUUCCAUUUCCUUCCAUUUCCUUUAUCAUUUUCUUGCUUUUCUCUGGCUUAUCCGUUUCUGUUCUUGCACAAUUUUCCUCCCGUCAAGCAAUCUUAUCACUUAGUUCUUGGCACAUAUUCUGAUAGGUGUGUGUGUGUGUGUGUGUGUGUGUGUGUGUGUGUGUUGACAAGAGUGAACUAAUGAGUGUUGCAAGCCUGUUAAGAUGUGUACGAAGAAAUUUAGUGUUGCAACGAAAACCAAUUAAUGUGUUUGCGUUAAUGAGAGCAAAUGAAUAAGUGUUGCAAGCAGGUUAAUUAAGAUGUGUGUUAAGGUAAUUAGUGUUGCAUGGAGAACCAAUUAGUGUGUUGAUGAAAGUAAGUUAAGAAGUGUUGUGUGGUGUGUUGCAAAGACGAUCAAUUAGAGAGUUUGU